CUGGCGGCGUGCCUAACACAUGGCAAGUCGAACGGAAGCAGAGAUUCGGUUUCUGCUUUAGUGGCGACGGGUGAGUAACACGUGAGUAAUCUGCCUUACAGAGGGGGGAUAACGUUCUGAAAAGAACGCUAAUACCGCAUAAGCCAACGAAAUCGCAUGGUUUAGUUGGAAAAGGAGCAAUCCGCUGUAAGAUGAGCUCGCGUCUGAUUAGCUAGAUGCGGGGUAAGGCCCACCAUGGCGACGAUCAGUAGCCGGUCUGAGAGGAUGAACGGCCACAUUGGGACUGAGAUACGGCCCAGACUCCUACGGGAGGCAGCAGUGGGGGAAUAUUGGGCAAUGGGGGAAACCCUGACCCAGCAACGCCGCGUGAAGGAAGAAGGCCUUCGGGUUGUAAACUUCUUUUAGUAGGGACGAAGAACGUGACGGUACCUACAGAAAAAGCAACGGCUAACUACGUG
rnacentral:rRNA from 1 species